rnacentral:rRNA from 1 species
UACGUAGGGUGCAAGCGUUGUCCGGAAUUAUUGGGCGUAAAGAGCUCGUAGGCGGUUUGUCGCGUCGAAUGUGAAAACCCGGGGCUCAACCCCGGGCCUGCAUUCGAUACGGGGCAGACUAGAGUUCGGUAGGGGAGUCUGGAAUUCCUGGUGUAGCGGUGAAAUGCGCAGAUAUCAGGAGGAACACCGGUGGCGAAGGCGGUUCUCUGGGCAUUACCUGACGCUGAGGAGCGAAAGUGUGGGGAGCGAACAGG